rnacentral:rRNA from 1 species
GGCGGCGCGGCUACACAUGCAGUCGAGCGGAGGAUUUAAGAUGUUUACAUCGAGGAUCCUUAGCGGCGGACGGGUGAGUAACACGUGGGUAACCUGCCUCAAAGUGGGGGAUAGCCUUUCGAAAGGAAGAUUAAUACCGCAUAAGCCUCCGGCGUCGCAUGGCGCUGAAGGAAAAGGAGCAAUCCGCUUUGAGAUGGACCCGCGGCGCAUUAGCUAGUUGGUGAGGUAACGGCUCACCAAGGCCACGAUGCGUAGCCGACCUGAGAGGGUGAUCGGCCACAUUGGAACUGAGACACGGUCCAGACUCCUACGGGAGGCAGCAGUGGGGAAUAUUGCACAAUGGGCGAAAGCCUGAUGCAGCAACGCCGCGUGAGUGAUGAAGGCCUUCGGGUCGUAAAGCUCUUUGAUCAGGGAUGAUAAUGACAGUACCUGAAAAACAAGCCACGGCUAACUACGUGCCAGCAGCCGCGGUAAUACGUAGGUGGCGAGCGUUGUCCGGAAUUACUGGGCGUAAAGGAUGCGUAGGUGGAUAUUUAAGUGGGAUGUGAAAUCCCCGGGCUCAACCCGGGAACUGCAUUCCAAACUGGGUAUCUAGAGUGCAGGAGAGGAAAGCGGAAUUCCUAGUGUAGCGGUGAAAUGCGUAGAUAUUAGGAGGAACACCAGUGGCGAAGGCGGCUUUCUGGACUGUAACUGACACUGAGGCAUGAAAGCGUGGGUAGCAAACAGGAUUAGAUACCCUGGUAGUCCACGCCGUAAACGAUGGGUACUAGGUGUAGGAGGUAUCGACCCCUUCUGUGCCGCCGUUAACACAAUAAGUACCCCGCCUGGGGAGUACGGUCGCAAGAC